UGACCGCUGGCGGCGUGCCUACUACAUGCAAGUCGAGCGAACAGACGAGGAGCUUGCUCCUCUGACGUUAGCGGCGGACGGGUGAGUAACACGUGGAUAACCUACCUAUAAGACUGGGAUAACUUCGGGAAACCGGAGCUAAUACCGGAUAAUAUAUUGAACCGCAUGGUUCAAUAGUGAAAGACGGUUUUGCUGUCACUUAUAGAUGGAUCCGCGCCGCAUUAGCUAGUUGGUAAGGUAACGGCUUACCAAGGCAACGAUGCGUAGCCGACCUGAGAGGGUGAUCGGCCACACUGGAACUGAGACACGGUCCAGACUCCUACGGGAGGCAGCAGUAGGGAAUCUUCCGCAAUGGGCGAAAGCUUGACGGAGCAACGCCGCGUGAGCGAUGAAGGUCUUCGGAUCGUAAAACUCUGUUAUUAGGGAAGAACAAAUGUGUAAGUAACUAUGCACGUCUUGACGGUACCUAAUCAGAAAGCCACGGCUAACUACGUG
rnacentral:rRNA from 1 species